UGUUAAAAACAAUUUCACUGAAAAGCUUCGUUUGGUGGUGGAUUCAUCCGUUUGGCAACUCUGCCGGCGAUUUGUUCUUUAAAUUUUAUUUUAGAUGGUCUUAUGCUUAAACUUUUCAUGGUGAUUUGUAAUCUUUUCUAGAGUUUUUUGUCUUUUAAGGACCUUUGGUGAAAAAAGUUCAAUAACUAAUUUUUGAAUGGAGCCUGCUAUGGAGCUGGUAGUGUUAAGAGGAUCUCGGUGCUUACGGUCUGGGAAGGCAGAUACGGACAACCAAAACCGGAGACAAUGUAUGAGGAAGAUAAGAAAACAGAAGCAAAGAGGUUAAGCAGGGGGACACCCAUCUAUUUCCUGUCUGUGGCUUCUGGAACCAGAGGGUGGGAGGAGCAUGUCCUGGUGGGGGAAGAGGGCGGUGAAGGCAGAAGGAGAGGGGGAGGGGGUGGUGCAGCCACCAGAAGAGGAGAGCAGGACAAUGGCAUGGUUGAGAAUGUAGGACUUUAAGAUGGCGGAGAUACGUGUGAAGACAAAGGACUUAAAGAUGGUGGUGGAGAGGGGGAGGGGAUUGUGAGCUGAGGGAUGUGGGUGACAGAGGUCUUCUGGCAGAUCUGAAAAGGAAGAAGGACUGGGCAGAGUAAGAGGCUGACAAUCUUUAACUGGAGAUCGGGCUAGGAGAACCUGAGUCAUUGAACACUUAACAUAAAGGUCUGGGCAGGAGAGCAAAGUCCAAAAAGACUGCACAUGUGGGAUUUCGCUCUACUCCCUGCUCCAGUGGCAAUAGUGAAGUCAAUGAGGAGGCCAAAACUGAAAGUUCCCUCAGGGGGCAAGUGAGAUUGAUUGUCCAAGGGAUACUGAGGCCCGGCCUCAGAGCAAAGAAAGACUAGCUUCCAUUUGUGAACAUGCUGGGACAAAUAUAGAGUAGCCAAAUUAGAAAUGAGACACUGCAACGGGGUCUGAGCCUCUGCUUUUGAGGACUGGUUCCCCAUGUCUGCGCCACUUCUCAACUAAUCCCGCUGAGAGGAGUGCCCAGCGUCCCAAGCACGCCAAGUCAGGGGAGAUGGCCUGGGAGUCUGGGUGAGGGACAUCUCCCACACCGCAGGGCCAGGGGCAGGCCGAAUGCCUGCAGAGGGUGUGCCGGAUGCCCCCACCUAGACAUACAUACAAUUUCUAAUGGACCAGGUGAAAUGGAGUUAGGAAGGGAAGCAGACUGGGGAAACUGAGGGACUCACCCGAAAAUAUUCCAUGCAGUGGAGAGCAGGCUGAGGUCCUGGGUCGGAGAAGGAGGGGGCGGGGCCACCGGUGGCCAGUCGGGUCCCCACGCUCAUGCUCCUUCCUGGGUUUUGGCACCAAAUAUAAGAUAAAUUCUAGCCGAAAUAAGCAGGAGAUGGUAGGCAACAAAGGACCAGGCAGUUUAUUUGAGCGUAAUUCCCGGGUGAUAUUCCCCCAUCUGGCUAUCACAGGCCAGGGAAGUCAGACUCAGCAGGGCAGGCAGCAAGUUUUUAAAGAAGGUAGGGGGAGUUAGAGCUUAGAUUUACAGCGGCACGAGGAUUGGCUAGCCUAAGGCACAUUUUUUCAGGUUGGGAGGGGGCACCAGCCGGGGACGUUGGCACGUCAUCAGUGUCUGACGUGCUCACCCAUCUCCCCAGUGCCUUCAACCUUACAGUAGCUAGUUAUUAAACAAGACUACCAUGCAGACAUAGGAUGUAAAUUAUGUGCCUUUAAAUGUGGCAAGUUCAUCCAAGCAGAAAUAAAUAAAAACAUAAAUAGGGAAUACAAUUAAUAAUAUCUGAAUAUCGUAUUUGAUUGGGCCAGAGAUCCAUGUGUCUCUUGCUCACUAGACCUUGACUGUAAGAAAAAAUUUUUAAACAGUGGCUGAGAAAGCCAUCAAAGAUUUCAAGUUAUUUUUGAGCCAAGUACAAUAACCUUAAUGCCAAAUAAAACAUUCUUCCAGAAUAAAUGCAAAAUAAUGUUUUCAAAUAUGAAAGGGAUGAAUUGAUGGAUAAAAAAGAUCAAGUUACAUCCCUCAUUAAAAAGUUGGUAAAAGUCAUUUUGUUUCAGAAAUGUUUGUAGAAUUAGCUAAAAAAUUAAUAAAUGUUUUACCUAGAAAAUGUAUAAUAAGCUAUUGCCAAAAAAUUCCUAAUCAGAUAUGACACAGAAUCAUGCUAUACAACAUGAAAGGGCAAUAUCAGCUCUGUACAUAAUAACAGAUGUUUACCUUAUGAGUGGACACCACUGAUGUAUAUAGAACAUUAAUCAUUUCACAACACGUGAAUAUAUGUUCCAUAGGAAAAAUGCCCAGAAACUUCCUAUUUGUUUUGUCAUUAAAAAAAAACAGUUACGAAAGAAGACAUUUUCAUUUAGAAAAUUUUUCAAUAAAAAAUAUAUAUAUUGUUAUGUAGAAGAAAUUCUGAAAGUUAUCAGGAUUAAAACAUGGAGUUGGAUCUUUGGGUACAAAAAGUAUAUUAUUCCUGCAAUAAACAAAAUUUCAGUCUACUUUCUGUUUUAUUCAGAGAAAAGCUGGUAGCCAAACAGUAUUUCUCCUCUGAUUCAACAUAGAACAAAUUAGUGCAAAUUUACAUAGUAAAAUAGCCACCGGCAAACAUAAUCUUUAAGACAAAAUAGGCAAAUAUUAGAACACUGCUUUUUCCACAAUGAAGUACAGAGGUCAGUGAUGAGGGAGAUGCUCUCACAAGUUUUUUAAUAAGGGCUAGGUUAAAAAUCCAUUCUUUAUUACACAGAUAAUUCUACAAAGUCAUUUAUAUAUUUUUCAAGCAGGCUUCCUCAAAUGGCUUAACUGAGCAAUAUGUUCAUUAGUUUUAUUAAUCCUAAAUUAUUACUUCAAGUUCUAAAUGUCAUGGUUUUUUAAUCUAAAGAACAAAGUAUCAGGAUUUUAUAAGAAAAACAGACUGUUGGAUCACGGGAAGAUGGCGGUGUGAGUAGUUCAGAGGAAAUCUCCUCCCCAAAACAUAUAUAUUUAUGAAAAUGCAAUAAAUACAACUAUUCCUAAAAGAGACACCAGUGGAUGCAGUACAACAGCCAGGAUACAUCUACAUCUGUGAGAACUCAACAUCACACGAAGGGGGUAAGAUACAAGCCAUGGCCAGGCGGGACCCAAACGCUCCCCUACCCCAAAACCCGGCGGGAAGAAAGGAGUCGGAAUGGGGAGGGAGUGAAAGCCUGGGCUGCAAAACAACCAGCUCUAGAAAUCCACACCCGGAAUGCAGACACAAGGUGCACAAGGUGCUGGAUAUUAGAGAAACGGAAAAGCAAAACCUGUGGGCAGGUCCCCGCAACUGGUGCCCCUGAGACAAAAGAAAAGCGAGUGCUUACUGCAAG